rnacentral:rRNA from 1 species
GACGAACGCUGGCGGCGUGCCUAAUACAUGCAAGUCGAGCGAAGUUUUUCUGGUGCUUGCACCGGAAAAACUUAGCGGCGAACGGGUGAGUAACACGUAUAGAACCUGCCUCAUAGACUGGGACAACUAUUGGAAACGAUAGCUAAUACCGUAUAACAGCAUUAACUGCAUGGUUGAUGUUUAAAAGUUGGUUUUGCUAACACUAUGAUAUGGCUUUGCGGUGCAUUAGCUAGUUGGUGGGGUAAAGGCCUACCAAGGCGACGAUGCAUAGCCGACCUGAGAGGGUGAUCGGCCACACUGGGACUGAGACACGGCCCAGACUCCUACGGGAGGCAGCAGUAGGGAAUCUUCCGCAAUGGGCGAAAGCCUGACGGAGCAACGCCGCGUGAGUGAAGAAGGAUUUCGGUUCGUAAAGCUCUGUUGUUAGGGAAGAAUGAUUGUGUAGUAACUAUACACAGUAGAGACGGUACCUAACCAGAAAGCCACGGCUAACUACGUG